rnacentral:rRNA from 1 species
AUGGCUACCAAUACCAUGAAUCAGAUGCGUCUCCUCCUCCUACACCUCUUGUACCUUGGCCUGAGCCUUGCCGAUGACCAGUUCGUGUACUCGGGCUUCGCCGGCACUAAUCUCACCCUGGAUGGCGUGGCGGGGCUCACGGCGGACGGCAUGCUGGAGCUGACAAACGGCACGCUCCAGCGCAAAGGCCACGCCUUCUACCCCGCACCGCUGCGCUUCCGCAAUGGCACGAUGUUCCGGUCCUUCUCCGCCUCCUUCGUCUUCGGCAUCCUGUCCGACCACGUGGACCUGAGCGCCCACGGCAUGGCGUUUGUCGUCGCCGCCGGCAUGGACUUCUCCGCCGCGCUGCCCAGCGGCUACCUGGGCCUCCUCAACGUCCAGAGCAACGGCAACGCGAGCAACCGCCUGGUCGCCGUCGAGCUGGACACCAUGCAGAACGACGAGUUCGGCGACAUCAACGACAACCACGUCGGCAUCGACGUCAACAGCCUCCACUCGCUGCAGUCCUACUACGCCGGCUACUAUGACGACGGCAGCAACGGCGACUUCCGAAACCUGACCUUGAUCAGCGGCGAGGCCAUGCAGGUGUGGGUGGAGUACGACGGGGAGGCCGCCCAGAUGAACGUGACCGUGGCUCCGCUCAACGUGGCCAAGCCUACGCGGCCACUUGUCUCGGCCAAACACGACCUCUCGAAGGUGCUCACUGACGUGGCAUACGUCGGCUUCUCCGCCGCCACCGGCGGCACGCUUCGAUCGCGGCACUAUGUACUCGGAUGGAGCUUCGGGCUGAACCGCCCGGCUCCGGCCAUCGACAUCAACAAGCUACCAAGGCUUCCCCGUGUUGGUUCCAAGGACAGGUCCAGAGCCCUGACGAUUGGCCUCACAAUAGCAACAGCAGCCUUCCUCCUCACCGGUGCGGCGGCCAUUUUCGCCCUCGUGCGAAGGCACCGGAGGUACGCCGAGCUGCUGGAAGACUGGGAGGUCGAGUUCGGCCCGCACCGCUUCUCGUACAAAGAUCUGUUCCGCGCCACUGAAGGAUUCAAGAGCAACCACCUGCUGGGCAUAGGGGGGUUUGGAAGGGUGUACAAGGGGGUCCUUCCCUUGUCCAAAUCAGAGAUCGCCGUGAAGAGAGUGUCACAUGAUUCGAAGCAGGGCAUGAAGGAGUUCAUCGCGGAGGUCGUCAGCCUCGGUCGCCUCCAGCACCGCAACCUUGUGCAGCUGCUGGGAUACUGCAGGCGCAAAGGUGAGCUCCUCCUCGUCUACGAGAACAUGUCAAACGGGAGCCUUGACAAGUACCUGCAUGCCAACGACUGCUUGUUGGAUUGGACUACGAGGUUCCGGAUCAUCAAAGGUAUAUCUUCUGGCUUAGUCUACCUCCACCAUGAAUGGGAGAAAGUGGUGAUACAUCGAGACAUCAAGGCCAGCAAUGUUCUCCUCGACAACGAGAUGAACGGUCGAUUAGGCGACUUCGGCCUAGCGAGGCUGUACGACCACGGCUCCGGCCCCGGCUCCGACUCCGACCCGCAAACUACCCAUGUGAUCGGCACCAUAGGCUACAUAGCUCCAGAGCUAGGCCGCAAUGGCAAGGCAUCUCCCCGGACAGACAUAUUUGCCUUCGGGGUGUUCAUGCUGGAGGUUACAUGUGGGCAGAGGCCUAUCAGCCAUGAAAGAACAGACGACCAUGCCUUGCUGGUCAAUUGGGUGCUUCACCACUGGCAAAAUGGAUCCCUUUUGGACACGGUGGAUGUUAGGCUCCAAGGAAGCUAUGAUGAGAAUGAGGCCAAUUUGGUGCUAAAGCUUGGACUUCUAUGUGCGCAUCCAUUCAGUGAUGCAAGGCCGAGUAUGCGCCAAGUCAUGCAGCAUCUGGACGGUGAGACGCCCUUACCGGAGCUGAUGCCGACCUACCAGGUGAUAUCCAACAUGCUAGUCCCACUAGAAACAAAGGAAUUCCAAGAACCUGAUGAUACUUCAUAUCUCGAGUCCAACGCAACUAGCCUCUCAGGAGGAAGAUAA